rnacentral:rRNA from 1 species
GAUGAACGCUGGCGGCGUGCCUAAUACAUGCAAGUCGAGCGAACAGACGAGGAGCUUGCUCCUCUGAUGUUAGCGGCGGACGGGUGAGUAACACGUGGAUAACCUACCUAUAAGACUGGGAUAACUUCGGGAAACCGGAGCUAAUACCGGAUAACAUGUUGAACCGCAUGGUACAACAGUGAAAGACGGUCUUGCUGUCACUUAUAGAUGGAUCCGCGCCGCAUUAGCUAGUUGGUAAGGUAACGGCUUACCAAGGCAACGAUGCGUAGCCGACCUGAGAGGGUGAUCGGCCACACUGGAACUGAGACACGGUCCAGACUCCUACGGGAGGCAGCAGUAGGGAAUCUUCCGCAAUGGGCGAAAGCCUGACGGAGCAACGCCGCGUGAGUGAAGAAGGUCUUCGGAUCGUAAAACUCUGUUAUUAGGGAAGAACAAAUGUGUAAGUAACUAUGCACGUCUUGACGGUACCUAAUCAGAAAGCCACGGCUAACUACGUG